rnacentral:rRNA from 1 species
GAUGAACGCUAGCUACAGGCUUAACACAUGCGAGUCGAGGGGCAGCGGUAUCGAAAGCUUGCUUUCGGUAGCCGGCGACCGGCGCACGGGUGAGUAACGCGUAUCGAACCUGCCUCAUACUCGGGAAUAGCCUUGCGAAAGUAAGAUUAAUGCCCGGUGUUUUCAGAGUCCCGCAUGAGGCUUUGAACAAAGAUUUAUCGGUAUGAGAUGGCGAUGCGUCCCAUUAGCUUGUUGGCGGGGUAACGGCCCACCAAGGCAUCGAUGGGUAGGGGUUCUGAGAGGAAGGUCCCCCACAUGGGAACUGAGACACGGUCCAAACUCCUACGGGAGGCAGCAGUGAGGAAUAUUGGUCAAUGGGCGGAAGCCUGAACCAGCCAAGUAGCGUGCAGGAAGACGGCCCGCCGGGUUGUAAACUGCUUUUAGUUGGGAAUAAAACGGGGCUCGUGAGCCCCCUUGCAUGUACCAUCAGAAAAAGGACCGGCUAAUUCCGUG